AACGUAGGUGGCAAGCGUUAUCCGGAAUUACUGGGCGUAAAGGGCUCGUAGGCGGCCAACUAAGUCAGACGUGAAAUCCCUCGGCUUAACCGGGGAACUGCAUCUGAUACUGGAUGGCUUGAGUUCGGGAGAGGGAUGCGGAAUUCCAGGUGUAGCGGUGAAAUGCGUAGAUAUCUGGAGGAACACCGGUGGCGAAGGCGGCAUCCUGGACCGGCACUGACGCUGAGGAGCGAAAGCCAGGGGAGCAAACGGG
rnacentral:rRNA from 1 species